AUUGAACGCUGGCGGCAUGCCUUACACAUGCAAGUCGAACGGUAGAGGGGCAACCCUUGAGAGUGGCGAACGGGUGAGUAAUGCAUCGGAACGUGCCCAGUCGUGGGGGAUAACGUAGCGAAAGCUACGCUAAUACCGCAUACGAUCUGCGGAUGAAAGCGGGGGACCUUCGGGCCUCGCGCGAUUGGAGCGGCCGAUGUCAGAUUAGCUAGUUGGGGGGGUAAAGGCCUACCAAGGCGACGAUCUGUAGCUGGUCUGGGAGGACGACCAGCCACACUGGGACUGAGACACGGCCCAGACUCCUACGGGAGGCAGCAGUGGGGAAUUUUGGACAAUGGGCGCAAGCCUGAUCCAGCCAUGCCGCGUGCAGGAAGAAGGCCUUCGGGUUGUAAACUGCUUUUGUCAGGGAAGAAAUCUCCUGGGUUAAUACCUUGGGAGGAUGACGGUACCUGAAGAAUAAGCACCGGCUAACUACGUGCCAGCCGCCGCAGUAA
rnacentral:rRNA from 1 species